GCAGGGUUGGGUUCUUUUAAACUUCAUUUCCCCUUUUUGCUUCUUGUCAGCACCAGGAAUUAUUUAAGGCGCUUUCCCCAUUUUUCUGUUGAGGUACCUAAAACGCCAGUGGUUAAUACAACCAUAAAUCUGCUGUGCCCUUGGGAAGGCCCUACAGCCAAAUGCCCCAGAAGGACUUCGGUAGGAGUGUUCCCAGCACCUCUCAAUUAAACUUUGCCAGAGCUGUUUCGCUUAAAUAACAGAUUUGCGACAAAUAAAUAACAAACUGAAAUCCUGACUGGCUGUGAGAUGCCAGCAGGCAAUUUUCCCUUUCCAAAAGAGCCUCGUUGGUUUUUUGGAAGGGAGUGGGAACUAGGACUCAGAAUUCAAAUGUUCCUGAACUGGUGCAGGAGGCAGAGGAAAGUUCAAAAUCCACUGUGGGUUUUGCAGGAUGGAGUUAAAUUUGAGUGAAUUGCUUGGGAUAUUGAUGGUAAAUUUUGUUCCUGCAGCACACUGACAGUUAAUGGGAUAAGAUGGGAAGUCUGAGUAGGAGUGAGACUUCUUGGGGAUGUGGAGAUUAUAGAACCAUAGAAUGGCUUGGGCUGGAAGGGACGUUUAAGAUCAUCCCGUUGCAAUCUCCAUUAUCUAGUUCUAAGCCAAAGAUAGCUGUGUUUCCAGAUCUUCAAUCAAGCCAAAGUCACAGCUAUUAUAAUGUUUUAGAGAGUUGUCCUGAGGAAAAAACCCCUCACGUGGGAAUUGUGCUGAUCCACAAAACAUCACACUGCCUUCAGGAUAAGCCCUUGUAGGAAACCUGUCCCCUCCUCCCUGCAAAAAAAAGAGAGCUUUAAAAUUUGUAAAGUGCCCCUUGGUACUCUUUCUCAGCUAGGUCAAGUCCAAGACACCACAACUAACCUCUCUCCCACAUCUUGUUUUCUAGUUAGCAGGGAAACAAAACCAAAACAGGAAUACCAGGUGUUCCUGCCUCUCUAUGAGCACCACUCAGUGCUCCUGUUAUCAUUUAUUGCUUGCCCAUCCUGGCCAUCCAGGCAAGAAGAUAAGAUUUCAGGGCACUGCCUUGUUGGCACAGCCCUAGAACUGAAGUUGAGUUUCCCUGAUGCAUUUGAAUGCCUCCAGGCUGUUGUAGCUGUUCCAGGAGGCUGGAAAGCAGCCAGCUGGCUGGAACAGCUGCCAGCCAUGCAGGAGGCCUCAGGCACUGCAGUGCUGGGACAUUGGCAGCAGGAGGUGAGUGUAUUCUGGGUGAAUGGAUGGUCUCGGGGUUCCUUGCACUUUUGGGUGGUCCACUGUUGUUUGUGUGCCCCAGACAGGCUUUGGGGAGAGGUGCCUGCACAUACCCAGCCCUUCAGUGCCCUGUUGGAGAGCCUGGCUCUGGAGCCUCUUUUCCCACAGCCUGCAGGUGCCCCCUCAUCUUAAGCCCUUUCAGGACAAAUCCUGAGCAAAGCAGUGAAGUCCUGCCUGGCCAGGAGGAAGCUAUGAGGGCUUCACUCUCAGCUCAGGCUGUUUGUUUCUCCUGAGAUGCCCAGUGAGACUUUGUAAGCAGGAGGAUAUUUGUCAGUAAAUGCUAGUGUAACCCUAACGUCCUGAUUUAAGGGAGUUAUCCAUCAAGUUGGUUGUUUUCAGACCUCAGUAGCUGCUGAAAAAUCAGGAGAGUCUUACAGCUGGAACAGCCAAGUGCCAUGUGCUCAGCUGAAGAUGAAUGUGGCAAUCACAGGUGAGUCCUGACCUUUACCGUGGCAAAGCUGUUAUUGGUAUCUCUUGGCUGAAAUGAAAGUAAGCAGAAGGAAUAAUUUUUGCUUCAUGCCUGGGAAAAAAGCAAUCAGGCCCUGAUUCAGCACAAAGAUGGUUUGUGUUCAUCCUUCCAAGCACAGACUGGAUCUCACUGUUUUGGGAUCAUCCCAGCAUCCUCUCUACUCGCAGUUUGCAAUGUCUGUGCCAGAGAUUAGGAAAGACAAAGGGUCCUGGAAGGGUCCAGCAAGACCCUUGGAGCCACGUGGGCAGCAUUUCAGUAGUUUCCUCCUUCAGCCAGUGAUUAAUGAGUUGUUCAGCAGAGGAUGAGGACUGGGCUAACAAUAUGCUUGUUUUCCUUUCCUAGGUGAAGCACUUCUCCAGUAAGAUGCAGGAUGCUCCUGGGGUGUGAGCAGGGAUUUGUGCUGCUCUCUGGAGAUGCUUUUCACAAGGACAGGCAGGGAGAGCCCUCUGGAUGUGUCCAAAGGCAGUAACUUCUGCAGGAUUUGUUCCAAGAAGGAGUCGAAGUAGCUGUUCACCGUUUCAAAGCUGUCCCGGAUGGUCUCGAUGCCCCAGUCGGAAUAGGAUGACUCUGCCUGGGAGUCCUGGUGGCCGGUGCUGUCCUGUGCUGCCUCCUCGGUGCACUGCCCCAAGCCCAGGGUCAGGCACAGAAGCGCUGCCUUCAGCAGCAGCCGCAUGCUGCAGUCCCGAUCCCGGAGCCCCGGGCAGGGAGUAGCGGGAAUGGGCUGCGUGUGUAGGAGGCACUGAGCUCCCCUCUGCCUGGACUUUAAACGCUGCCCAGGGAGCCGGCGUGAGGUCACCGCAGCCGGGGUGCAAAGUGCAGCGCCGAGAUCUGGACCGCGUUCACCUGCCAGAGCUGGGAGUUCGCACAGUCCCGCGGGGACAGCCUCAGUCCCCCCGGCACCGGGGCUGCAGCUCCCCAAAAGGGACCUCUCCCUGCAUGGGCCACCUCACUCCCUCCCCAGCCUGGUGGGAGAUGAAAAAAAUUCCUGCUGCUCAGGCAGCCUGAAGAGCACCCCUUGCCCUUUCCCCAGGCCUCCUGGGCACACGGGGGUGGGAUGAGACCUUCACCCAGCCUAGCUGCUGGGUAUAUUGCUCCUAGCAAAUCCCAUGGGCCCUCGGAGGGGUUGAUCCAGCAGCUUGGAGUAGUUUGGGGUUACAAACACUGCAUUCAGGGUAAUUCCUUGGCAUCACCUCCAGUUCUAGGAUCGAUGUUGUAGAUGAAUACUUGCCUUUGAUGUGGCUGCUGAGGGCUGAUGUUAUAUGGCUGGUUGUUACAGCUCCUAUGUAAUGUAAAUUAAACAUGUAGCACAGGUGAGCCAGAAGGAAAGGUUGGCACUGAAAUCUGAGCCAGGGGAUGGGUUGUGGGCAGCUGCAGGUCUUGGCUCUGGAGUGGGACAGGCCUGCCAGGACCCAGGGGCCUGCUCAGCUGGUGGAGGGUUCAAAGUUGCGCAUUAAAAAGAAAGCAACCAAAUGAACAUCCACAGCAAAAGACAAAGCAAACCACUCACAGAGAAUAGAGAAGGGAAAUGGUAUGGGAAGGUUCUGGCUGCUCUUAGAAAGCUUUUCAGAUGUGCUCCAGCACAGCAAUGCCUCUCAGGAGGAGUUGGGCUGCAGGCAUUUUAAACAUAUGCCAAACACAAAUGCAAAUUCUGGCAUUUUAUUGUUUUGCAGGAGAUUCAGCCCUGCUGUGUUGCUGCUUCUGGAGGGCCAGAGCUCCAUGGCACUGCCUGUGUCUCUGCACAUGGCCCUGGGUGACAAACUCCAGACAUGGGACAGCCAAGUCUUGGUUUCUUAGGCAGCUGCAGCUGCUGUGGUCCUUACCCUUGCUGGGUUCCUCCCAUGGUGGUGACCCCCCAUGGUCCUGCUCCAGGUGCAGCUGUGCCAGAAGAGCCCCAGGGACCCAGGUUCCUGAUGACCAGAACUAAGCAUGAGCUCCACUGCUCUGCGGGGUGAAGCUCAGGAAUGGCUGUGGGUUUUGGUUAUGGAGGAGGCCAGCCUGACCUUCCCACAUGUGAGUUUAUUGUGCUGUUGGAGUCUCUGGUGCUUUCCUCCCUUCACUAGAACCAUUCCAGGAUCAGUGGUUGGUUGACCUUCUGGCUUCAGGAAAUAGGUAUGUCACCCCUGGAAAAGGGACACUCAGCAGCUGACCCUGCUUUCAGCCCAGCAUGAUCUGCCCUCCCCUCUUGCAGUCCUUUAGGGCUGUGUGUUCCCAGCAGAGACACAAAGUUUAGUGUUGAACAGGAAUUUGGAGUAGGAGCAGCUCCUGCACCUGCCCACUGAGAUGGUGCAGGGAAACAAAGGAGCUUAGUUUCCACAAAUGGUGAUAAAACUUUGUGUGAUCAGAUUUAUAGCAGCCACAUACGAGGAGAGUUGGAUGUGGAGGAUUUCUCACUGCUACUGGCAGUGGCUUUUAUUUUAAGCCUGUUCACUUUUUUUUUAAAACAUUAAAAAUUUUAUUACAAAAAAUGUAACAGUAAGGCAAUUUCUCAGUUGUCAGUCACUGUGAGCCCAGACAGUUUUCAAUCAUGUUUAAUACAAAACUAGAUUCACACAGGAGCCACGCCAGGGAUCCAAAAGCCCUUUGAGAAAUGAUGGGGUAAGGCAGAAGCAGCAGCACCAGUGUAAUCCCUUACACAGUCAGCGUUGGAGGCAUGGACACCACUGCAGUGGAGGAAACAGGGAUUGUCUGCAGUUUGAAAAUCUAAGCCAACCCUACUGCCAUAACCUGAAACAUUCCUGAUAUGCCUCAGCAGACUCAAGGUUUAAUUUUGAGGGAUUUUUUUUUUCCCCUUUAACCAAGUGAAAUUUUCUACUGUCACAAGUAGAAAAUUCUUUCCUGAAGAAUUAUCUGUGAGUGGUUCACUGCUUUAAGAAGUCGUGCACCAGAACAUUUGUACUCCCCAAGCAAUGCCUGAGACUGAUGCUGUUUAAUACUGGAAAUACUCACUGGCAUUGAGGUGAGGGAGGGAACUGCUGACCAAAAUUCCCCAUCUCUGGCUUUUUUUUCGUCCUUUGGUGAUUGUUGAAUAGAGUUGGGACAGCAAGAGCAAAUGCUUUCCACACCUGUUCCUGAUGGCAGUACAGGGAUUUUGCUUUGUGCUCCUUUACAAGGUAGGACUGGCAUUUAUGGAUGCCCCACACUGUUCACAGGACCCUUGUACUUGCAGGGAGGGGGUGGGAGUUACCUGCAGCCAUAGUUACCUUUUUGGAACUUUACAAACUAAAAGAGAGG